AAAAAAGACAGUCUCAGUUCGGAUUGAAGGCUGAAAUUCGCCUUCAUGAAGCCGGAAUUGCUAGUAAUGGCAGGUCAGCAUACUGCCGUGAAUACGUUCCCGGGCCUUGUACACACCGCCCGUCACACCAUGAGAGUUGGGAAUACCCGAAGCCUGUGAGCUAACUUUUAGAGGCAGCAGUCGAAGGUAGAAUCAAUGGUUGGGGUGAAGUCGUAACAAGGUAGC
rnacentral:rRNA from 1 species